AGACGNGGCGNNGGGNUUUCAAUGGAGUUGGCCAUGAAGCGUUCGGNGGGGAUUANUGUAGAACGGGUGAGUACNCGNGGGCAAGCUGCCCUUGNCUCUGGGACAAGCCCUGGAGACGGGGUCUANUACCGGAUAACACCNNCCACCUCAUGGUGGGGGGUUAAAAGCUCCGGCGGUGAAGGAUGAGCCCGCGGCCUAUCAGCUUGUUGGUGGGGUAAUGGCCUACCAAGGCGACGACGGGUAGCCGGCCUGAGAGGGCGACCGGCCACACUGGGACUGAGACACGGCCCAGACUCCUACGGGAGGCAGCAGUGGGGAAUAUUGCACAAUGGGCGAAAGCCUGAUGCAGCGACGCCGCGUGAGGGAUGACGGCCUUCGGGUUGUAAACCUCUUUCAGCAGGGAAGAAGCGAAAGUGACGGUACCUGCAGAAGAAGCGCCGGCUAACUACGUGCCAGCAGCCGCGGUAAUACGUAGGGCGCAAGCGUUGUCCGGAAUUAUUGGGCGUAAAGAGCUCGUAGGCGGCCAGUCGCGUCGGGUGUGAAAGACCGGGGCUUAACCCCGGUUCUGCAUUCGAUACGGGCUGGCUANAGUGUGGUAGGGGAGAUCGGAAUUCCUGGUGUAGCGGUGAAAUGCGCAAUAUCAGGAGGACACCGGUGGCGAAGGGGAUCUCUGGCCAUUCUGACGCUGAGGACGAACGGGGGACGACAGGAUUAAU
rnacentral:rRNA from 1 species